rnacentral:lncRNA from 1 species
UAAGCGAUCUAUUUAAUUACAAAUUCUGAAGAGAAUUAAAACACUUAACGCUUAACUCAGUGGGGUUAAAUGGUAGCUAGACGAGUUUUUCUAGUGGAAACUAGGAGCGAGUGAAACUCAACUAGACAGUGUAUUGGGAAGAUAUUAAGAGUGUAUAAGGAUACUAAGAGUGGUGAAGAAUACUGCAUAACCAAGAACGGGGUAAACUCGGUUUUAGUCAGAGUCACGGGGGUUACUUGGAUUGACUAGGUGAUACCAGGAAUAGUGAGAAUACUCAGUUGUAAUCUUAUUGAAUAUUGUAAUGGAACUCUAAGAGGUUUUAGAGGAGAUCUGGACGUAACUCGGUGGAGUAAACCAGUAUAAAAUUACCCGUGUUUAUUAUUUCAAUUCUGCUAAAUGCUUUUC